CACCGUACACUUUAACACACUCCAUCAAAUCCCCACACUUCGUAUUUCACUUUCUAAUCUAACAACUUUGUAUCUAUCUGUGUCCGAACCCUAACUACUUCUGGCGGCCGGAUCUAUCAUAUUUUCAAAGGAAAAAUGAGUAGGUCAAGCAGGACUUUAUAUGUUGGAAAUCUUCCGGGUGAUAUUCGCGAACGCGAAGUUGAAGAUUUGUUUUACAAGUAUGGUCCAAUAGCUCGCAUUGAUCUGAAGGUUCCACCUAGACCUCCAGGUUAUGCUUUUGUUGAGUUUGAAGAGGCCCGGGAUGCUGAAGAUGCCAUCAGGGGCCGGGAUGGCUAUGAUUUUGAUGGGCAUAGAUUGAGGGUCGAGCUUGCUCAUGGUGGCCGUGGCAAUUCAUCUUCUACGGAUCGUUAUAAUAGUCAUGGAAGUAGUCGGGGUGGUGGUGGUGGUGGUGGUGGCCAUGGUGGAGUUUCUAGGCGGUCUGAUUAUAGAGUUUUGGUGACUGGAUUGCCUUCUUCUGCUUCAUGGCAAGACCUUAAGGAUCACAUGCGUCGAGCUGGGGAUGUUUGCUUCUCCCAAGUUUUUAAAGAGGGUGGUGGAACCACAGGGAUUGUAGACUACACAAAUUAUGAUGACAUGAAAUAUGCAAUAAGGAAAUUGGAUGACUCUGAGUUCCGAAAUGCUUUCUCACGUGGAGUUAUUCGUGUAAAGGAAUAUGAUUCAAGCCGCUCUAGGAGCCGGAGCCGUAGUCGCAGCAGGAGCAGGAGUAGGAGCUAUAGCCGUAGUCGCAGCAGGAGCCGAAGCAAGUCUCCAAAAGCGAAAUCUUCUCGUCGUUCAAAAUCUCGUUCGAAGUCUGCUUCUCCUCGUGCUCGUUCGAAGUCUGCUUCUCCCCGCCCAUCAAAAGCAAGAUAUGGAUAUAUACAGCUCUCAUGGGAUUGCAUGUUAGGAUCUUGGUGGGAUAUCAUAUCACCAACUAUAACAAUUUUUAUUGGAACAUGAAGAAUCAUGGAUAUGGAUUGCAAUGAAAAAGCUGGAUUGUGAAUAGAUGCUAUAUGAUAAUGGAUUAUGGGCUAUGGCAAUCAGGGUCUUAACAGUUGGAUCAUAUCAUUGCUUCUGCAAUUGACAUGUAGAAAUAAAGCAUGGUGUCCAACUUAUUUGUUGGCUUAAUUGGUAUCUUGUUCACUUGCAUCUUAAUUUGCAUACUUUUCUUCUCAUUUGAGGAUAUAUGGCUGGCUAAAUUUUUGUGGAUUUUGCAUUCAUUGUAUUGAUUUUGGUUACUGAUUCUCUGACGUGGAAGUGGCAUCAAGGCUCUUGGCCCAGAGUAAUUAAAAAGAGGAACUUUUGGAUAUUAAACUCGCUUGUUUCUGGAACUUUUGCAGAUCUCCCUCAAGAUCCAGAUCCCCACCACCAUCUCGCUCUAAGCGUGUUAGUAAAAGUCCUAAGAAGCGCAGUCCUAGCAAGAGCAGGAGCCCAAGCAAG